rnacentral:rRNA from 1 species
AAUGAACGCUGGCGGCAGGCCUAACAUAUGCAAGUCGAACGGAUCCUUCGGGAUUAGUGGCGGAUGGGUGAGUAACGCGUGGGAACAUACCCAAAGGUACGGAAUAGCCUCGGGAAACUGGGAGUAAUACCGUAUGUGCUCGAAAGAGGAAAGAUUUAUCGCCUUUGGAUUGGCCCGCGUUGGAUUAGGUAGUUGGUGGGGUAAUGGCCUACCAAGCCGACGAUCCAUAGCUGGUUUGAGAGGAUGAUCAGCCACACUGGGACUGAGACACGGCCCAGACUCCUACGGGAGGCAGCAGUGGGGAAUCUUAGACAAUGGGGGAAACCCUGAUCUAGCCAUGCCGCGUGAUCGAUGAAGGCCUUAGGGUUGUAAAGAUCUUUCAGGUGGGAAGAUAAUGACUGUACCACCAGAAGAAGCCCCGGCUAACUCCGUGCCAGCCGCCGCGGUAA